CCUACGGGUGGCAGCAGUGAGGAAUAUUGGUCAAUGGCCGUAAGGCUGAACCAGCCAAGUCGCGUGAAGGAAGAAGGAUCUAUGGUUUGUAAACUUCUUUUAUAGGGGAAUAAAGGUAUCCACGUGUGGAUUUUUGCAUGUACCCUAUGAAUAAGCAUCGGCUAACUCCGUGCCAGCAGCCGCGGUAAUACGGAGGAUGCGAGCGUUAUCCGGAUUUAUUGGGUUUAAAGGGUGCGUAGGUUGUUUUUUAAGUCAGCGGGGAAAGUUUGUGGCUCAACCAAAAAAUUGCCGUUGAAACUGGAAGACUUGAGUGUGUUUGAGGUAGGCGGAAUGCGGGGUGUAGCGGUGAAAUGCAUAGAGAUCACGCAGAACACCGAUUGCGAAGGCAGCUUACUAAGCCAUAACUGACGCUGAAGCACGAAAGCGUGGGGAUCAAACAGGAUUAGAUACCCUGGUAGUC
rnacentral:rRNA from 1 species